ensembl:lncRNA
GCUGGGGACUCCGGAGGCGCGGGGAGGAGGAAGGUGCGGGCAGCGUGCGGUGAGGAUGGACACGUGCCACCGACGCAUGCCAGCGGCUGCAUGGGGCCAAACGCCCACCCACAAAACCCACCGCGAUCUCUGGCAGCCGUGGCGGGAGGCGGCAGCAGUUGGCAGAGGUGCUGGGGAGGGCCGGCUGGGGCAGGUGGAUCCCGGCAGCGGCAGUGCAGCUCCGCACACCAUGGAAAGGGAGCCAGCCUCCCACCGAGCCCCAGGAAGGAGUGGGCGCCCGGCCAGCCCCUCCCCCGUGCCAACCCUGGCUGCCCACUGUGCCUCCUGCGACAGUGACGGGGCCUCCGCCUCCCCUUCGCUCUGCUAAGGGUCAGGAGUCCAGCUGCCUGCACCCUCGCCCACCCCAGAGGCCUCCCUGCCGCCUCUGCCUCCCGAGAGCCCAGUGUCAGCUAUGCAGGCACAUCGGCCCCGUGACUGGGCUCUGGAGGGACGGCAGCCACCACCCCGCCCAGGAGGGAGCCAGCGCCUGUGUGUCCAGGACCAACCCUCACAGGCCCAGGGAAGAGGGGUCCCUGCCUCUUCCUUUGGUACCUUGGUGCCCGAGAGCUCCUUACCCCAUGCCAAUAAGACCGGGCUCCUGGAGCCCACCUUGCCCCUAGCUGCGUGGUGGCCAGCCUGGCCUUUCGGUCACCUGCUGUCAUCCGUCCACGCCUCUGACCGUGUGCUCACACACAUGGUGUCGGCACCAUGCCAGGUUCUGUGCGGAGAUCAGACUUCGUGAUGUUGAGUAAAAUCAGCCCAGCCUUGCGCUCCAGGUGUUCACACCAGCCCCCACCAGGCCAUGUGGGCGGAGGACUUUGGGGCAGGGCUGGUGAGGCCAAGAAGGACGAGGUGGACGGAAAGUUUCAGGGCCUGGGAGCUGUGGGAGGAAUAGAAAGCGGCCAGUUGGUGAGUCCCACACAGGCGGGACCUUUGUGCCCCAGGUCAAAGGAAAAGGGAGCAGGCCCUGGCCGAGUCCACACCAGCCUCUGCUUGGUCCACAGGCCCUGUCUGGCUCUCCUCAGUCAGGGGGUCCAUGAGACCCUGGCCCUGGGCUCUGGUCCGUAGGUGGUGGCCACAGCGAGGCCCCUCUGGGCCGCAUUCUGCCCCACAUGUAGUGCCCUCUCCACACACCUGCGCGGCUCGCCCUGGGCUCUGCUCCGGCUGUGCAGGGGCUGCCCCGGGCUGCCCCGGACUCUGUGAAUCCUGCGUCCCCUUGCUCCUGGCCUCUGGGUCAAGCCUUUGUCUUUAGUGUUCAUCUCGACCUUAACCGUGACCUACAGCGACAGGGAAAUGGUCACACUGCCAUCCACAGAUACAGUCUCAGCAUCCACAUUUCGGGAGACAGAAGCACAGACAGGCCAUGUUGCUUCCCUGAGGCCACAGAGCCAAAAAAGAAGCUGCCUGGGCGCGCCCGUCCUGGAGCCCCGGCGUCGUCACCAGGGCCAGCACAAGCAGCCAGGACCCUCCUGGGAACCAGCUCCCUGACCGGGUCGCCCCAGCCCUCCUGAGCUCACUGACCAGGGAUCCGGCCAGGGCCCCUCCCCCACGCAGACAGUGGGCUGGGAUGCACAGGGGGAGGGGGCUUGGGCCACAUCCUCCCUCCGCCUCCCCGGGUCCCAGCCGACUUGCUCCUUGAGCUGCUGGCAGGGUAAUAAGCUCUGCGUGUGGUGUAGAAAUAAAGCACGUUCCAC